CUCCAAGAAGCUAAGGGCAGGACAGGUUCCGUUCACUCGUUCAUUCGACAGACGUUCAUUGAGCUUGAACUAUGCUUGGCGCCAUGCUUAGGCACUGGGUUCUGGCGUCGCUGGAUCCGAACCCUGCACUCACCGGUUAUUGUGAGUUAGUGUAGGGGGGCCAUGCAUUCCGGGUUACGUCCGUGGAACUGGUGUAAGUGUUAAUAGUGUCUUUUUACUCGCUUAGAAAUGUCUUAGUGGUGGGGGCGGUAGUUAAGGAACCCUGUCCCCCAAUUCAAGGAAAGCUCCCACGGCGCAGGUAAGGAAGACAAGCUAUUGUCUGCUCACUUUGCAACGGGCACUUUGUAGUCUCUGUAAUCUUUGCCUCUCAUUCCGCAAGGUAAGUAUCUCUAGCACCUUUUACAGAUGGAGAAACUGGCUCAGAAGAGUUGAGACUUGCCCAGGGCCAAACAGCUAAGUGCUGGAACCAGGAUCCAGACCCAAGUCUAUGUGGCUUCCAAAAUCCAAGUGCCCUAUCUUAUUCUUCCUUCUCAAAACAGAUGAUAUUAAAAAGACGUCCCUGAGCGCUGGUCCUGAAGGUUCCACCAUCUCUGAACCAAGGAGGGGACAAAGGACUUACAUACUGAGCCCCUACCAUAUGGAAGGCUCUGUUAGGUCCUGCUAAGGAUGUCAUUAAGAAGUUUAUGACACAAUUCCUAAAGUCGUUUCUUCUCCCUCCUUCCAAACUCCACGGUUUCCUGUGCCACUUCCCAUGCCAGGAGGGCCCGUCCUCCAUGUCUACCCAUCUCUCAAGCUCCAGCUCAUAAAGCCUGCUUGGAACAGCGCCAGCCAAAUCUGAUUCCUCUCUCCUCUGAAAGCCCAGCACACUCAGUCUGUACCUUUCUCAGGACACAGCAUGUGGCCUGUCUCAUAUUCUAGUGAUCUGUUUACUAAUCCUGUUCUUUUAACCAGAUUAGAAAGUCCUUGAGGUAGAAACAAAGUCUGCUUCUUUGAGGCCUCCCCCCAUGGCUUCAGCUCAUCCCCCACAGGCCAAGCUUGGCACUGGAGUUGAUGUUCAAUAAAUGCUGGGUGUAUUGAAAUGAUUUCCUGCCCUUGGGCAGUUUGCAGACCAGUUGAAGAGACAAACACAUGGCAUGUGAGGUUAAAUAAUAACCCAAGCCAGCAGGUGGUGAGUACCAAAUGUGUUAAGAGCUAUAGGGACUCAGUAGGAAGGAGGUGGUGAUAUGGGAGAGAAAGAUCCCAGGAGGUUCUAGGCCUUGAGCUCUGUGUGUGGAGGAGGAGAGAAAAGGCGUGGAGGUGACUCAGUCUGGUUGACAUCACCACAAACCAGCCUCCAUGUCAGGCACUUCACAUACAUUAUCUCUAACAUUUAAGGGAGGGGGGUAGGUUUGGGAAGAGUGGAGGGGACAGUACCCAAGCCAGACCUGCCCAGAGCCAAUCAGAGUGUAGAGGCAGCCUUGGAUCUGGCUGCGCCCCACCCUCACUCCCCGGGCACUGCCUGUUCCCUGGCCUGCCACUCCUACAUACUACACCCAAGAGAGCUGCCCAGCACUGCCCAGCUCUGGAUGCACUCUGGUCCCACCCUGGUGAACAACUGGCUGUGUGACCUUGGGCAAGGCACUUCCUUCCCUACACCUCCCUGUCAUCUGUACCUCCGUUGCAGCACUUACAGGCUGUGAUUCUGGAAAUUCCUCGCGCUGGACCGCACCCGCCCUUGAGGACCUCCCGAUCUCUUUGGGCAGAGCGGAAGCCAGGCAGAGCCGGGAACGUGAAAUGACAAUCCUUAGCCCUGUGUGUGCCACAAGCCCCCGGGGGCAGGCGGCCACGCUGCAGGAGGGCAGAGGCGGGAGAGGGACCCUGGCGUGGGCUGCUGGGACAGAGUCCUUCUCAGAGGAGGUGGGGACCCCGUGGAGUACGUGACUCCUGCCCCUCCAGCCUGCACGCUCCAGUUAGCAGGACAGAGACCCCUCCCCACCCCUCCCCGACGUUCCCGGGCUUUCUGCUCUGCUGGGAAGCCCUGUCAUCCCUCCCCCCGACCAACACUCCUCCCAGGCACCCCUGAGAGGACCAGCUGCAGCUGAGGGUGGGGGUGGGGAGAGUGCUGCCAGGGCUCUCAGAUCCCUAUAGCCUCUCUCUCCCACCCCUCCCUCGCCCCCAACUGCUGAGCUGCUUCGAGGUUUAAAGCAAAACACGAUUCCGUCCUUCCUGCUGCUCGGUGGCAGCAGUGCUGCUUGAGGUUAUUUUUAGCAGGGAUGCAGGGAAGGCACAUUUCUCCUGGACUUUCGCUGAGGACACCCCUCAUCCCCCAGCCAAGACUCGGCCGGGGGAGUCUGGUACGGAAACCCCCGUCUCAGAAAGGGGAAACGCGUGUGUUUUCUGUUCCUUCAACUCACCAGAACAGGAGUUGCAGUCAAGCCUGGGGUUACACUGAUGGGAAAUGUGAGGUUCCAAAGCCAGUGUGCUGCCCUCAUCCCUGGUAUCCAAGGCCUUGUAAAUCUGGGGAGCAGGAGGUGCCUGGGGCCUGUGAUGCCCAGCGUGUGGGUGUUGGUGUCCAAGGGGAGCCAGCACUGUGGACCGCAUGGGGGCAUGAGGCAUUCUGGGUGGUGUUUAUGCAGGUACUUGAUUUAUAAUUCAUUAAACUGAUCAUGUCUGUUCUAUGUAUUUCUCUGUAUGUGUGUCUUUUAUGCUAGCAGUACUUUAUUGAGGUAUACUCUACAUACAGUAAAAUGCAUAAAUCUUAACAGCACAGCUCAAUGAAUUUUGACAAGUAUGUAUACACAUGUAACUAUCACCUAGAUAGAGACUUGGAACAUUUUCAGCAUGCCUAAGUUCCCUCAUGCCCCCUCCCAGUCAGUCCCCACCCCAGAGGUAACCGAGAUCUGAUUUCUCUCACCAUAGAUUAGUUUCCUGUGUGUGUGUGUGUUACAAGGUUAAAAGAAAUACAG